GAUGGCUCAGCUUUAUCUCAGCUAAGGUAGCAUAAGCUGCUGACCAUCAGGAGGGUUUUGAAGACAAGUACCAAGGAAGGAGUUGUGUUCCUGAGCAGAACUUUGCACGAGGACUCCAUUAUAUGUUUUGGUUCGUUAUCUCCUGACAUAACAGUUCUGUUGGCCCAGGAUGUGGUUUAUCUUAUCACAUAGAGAUGAUACCCUGUCAAGAUAUGCUCCAGUUUCUGGGAACAAUUGUUCUAUUGUGCUUGGAGAAUGCCUGGGACAACAUGCUAUUGCCCACUGGCAGAGCCUUACAGUGCAGCAUGCAGCACAAGAGCAGAAUGCAAUAAAUGGAUUCUACAAGAGGAAGCAUUGGGUGGAUUUUGUUGUCCUCAUACCUACGUUGAUAAGAGUCCUCAAGUGUUUGCCCUUCCAUUUGGUGCUCUGCCAGACAUCUGCAUUUGUGGCCAUCAGCACCAGAGCCUGUUCUGUCCUGUGUCAGUUCUCCAGAUGCUGUUCCUGCUAUCAAAAAUAAGGAAGAGAGAAAAGAAGGACCGGGUUCAGCUGUGCUGUUGGAGGGAUGCACAGUUCAGAACUUCCCCACAGUGUGGAGAGAAAUGAGUUCUGUCAUUAAAAGGAGGAAAGAAUGCACCAAAAUCGUGCUUGACCAUAUGAUAAGGAGGCAAAGACUGGAAUAUUCCUGUGGUGGUGUUCACAGAAGUCUGUUCUGAAAAAAAUGUAUAACUUCUUUCCAGGGUCUGAUGGCACAAAGCAACCAUGAAUAAAUG
rnacentral:lncRNA from 1 species